GGGUCAGUAGGUUGGUCGUGCCACCGGUACGUACUGGUCUCACUGAUUCCUCCUUCCUGAAGAACCGUAAUGCCAUUAAUUUGGUGUUACGGGGAAACAGGACUGUUACUUUGAAAAAAUUAGAGUGUAUAAAGCAAGCUAACGCUUGAAUACAUUAGCAUGGAAUAAUGAAAUAGGACGAUCGAUCCUAUUUUGUUGGUCUCUAGGAUUGACGUA
rnacentral:rRNA from 1 species